AUAUGUUGAUAAUUUCGCCGACUUAAACCACGUUGACGGGACUCUCGCUGCGUUCAAAACAGCGUUCUACUUGCGGGCCCAUUUCUGAUCAUCAGUGAAGGCUGAAGAUCAUUUCAAGGUGGAUGACAAUUUGGCAUUUCUUCGACGGAACCCUGCACCUGAAUAUGGCUGAGUAUAUUUGAUUGAAUAUCGAUACUGCUUAGUGUUCUUUGUUACUUCAGCUUUCAUACGUUCUAAAUAUCUGGUGUCAAUAUUUGCCACAGAAGUAAAACCCUACCCAAUGGAAUGACGUCAAACAACAACUUUGGUGCUUGGUUACCAACUGGAUAAUAACAAAGCUAAAAUAAUGUCUGUCUUUCCCACAUGUUACAGUAGAAGAAACUCUAGAACUGUAUAAGGUUAAAAAGGUAACAUGUUUGUCCCAAGGUGUCUGCCUCCUCACCCAGAGCCAGACCUCCUCCUCCUCACCCAGAGCCAGACCUCCGCACCCAGAGCCAGACCUCCUCACCCAGAGCCAGACCUCCACCUCCUGUCAAAAGUCCUCCAGAACAGCUGAAAGGCGAGGCUGAGAGGUUGGGGACCGGCUUGUGGUGCCAGGAUGGACCGGAGACUGAGGCUGGAGACCAGGGGCCUGCAGCACCGGACCAGAGGACGUUGGGGCCAGAUAUGAGCUGUUUGUUCCAGACCAGGACUCUGGCUGAGGAGCGCUGAUGGAGGAGCCAAGACUCUGGAGGACGACAUCACUCUACCAACAAGGAUCCUCGUCAGUUUGCAUAAAAGACAAAUUACGUUUGUAACCAGACCAGGAAUCUGGAUUACUGACGGAGAAGCCAUACAUCUGGAAGGCAAAUCCUGAGGACGACCAGGACUCCUCGUAAGUUUGCAUUAUCUGGACCUGGUGGACCAGACACACCUGAGCUGAACCUCACCUGAUCCUGUUUGGUCGGGGUCAGACUCACCUGAGCUGAACCCCACCUGAUCCUGCUGGUCCCGUCUCCUCAGUUUCUUAGCCUCAUCUUCCAGAAGACCUGCUGAACUCAGCGGUCUGAUCCUGAUGGAUCAAUGACCUCCAGUGGGAGUGAUCUUCUUGACCCCACAUGUACCUGUGUGCUUCCACACACCUUACCCUCACAUCUGUCACUAAUCUCACUACUUCAUUAAUCUCUAAUUCUUCCCUUCUUCUUCCUUCUCCGUGGUUCGAACCUUUACUCUGAAGGAGUGUCUUCUUGAACCUUUACACUGAAGGACCGUCUUCCUGCCCUCAGAGGGUUCAGCGUUAGGGUUGAGAGUCAGGGUUUAGAGUCAGGGACAGAGCUGGUUAGGGAGGACUGGUUUUACACAAACCUCUUCACUUGCUUUUGUGAAUGGUGGUGACAUUUUGAAAUGAUUAAUUUGGGAAAAUGUUUUCCUCUGUUUUCCUUUACAAAAGUACGUGUUCAACUGUGUUCAAAGCUUUUUUGUUUAUACUGUAUAUUAAAAUCCUACAUUGACUUCUG